GCCGGGGUGGUGAAAUGGUAGACACGUACGCUUGAGGUGCGUAUGCUUAACGGCUUGCAGGUUCAACUCCUGUCCCCGGCA
rnacentral:tRNA from 1 species